AUGUCAAGAUUUGGACAAUUUAUAGGAAAAGGCUAUGAGUGCGGAGACUUGUUCCGCUUUUCUCUUUCAGAUUUUUGCAAUAAGUCAAUAAACCAAAUUUGUGCUAGUGUUAAUGAUGAUGCAAGUAUUUGGCACUCUCGUUUAUGUCAUAUUAAUUUUGGUUUAAUGUCUCGGCUAUCCAGCAUGAGUUUAAUUCCGAACUUCACAGUUGCCAAAGGUUCUAAGUGCCAUAGUUGUGUGCAAUCUAAGCAACCUCGAAAGCCUCAUAAGGCUGCCGAGGAGAGAAACUUGGCACCUCUAGAACUCAUACAUUCUGAUCUUUGUGAGAUGAAUGGUGUGUUGACAAAAGGUGGAAAGAGAUAUUUCAUGACUUUGAUUGAUGAUGCGACUAGAUUUUGCUAUGUUUAUUUGUUGCAAACUAAAGAUGAAGCAUUAGACUACUUUAAAAUCUAUAAAGCUGAAGUUGAAAAUCAACUAGAGAGAAAUAUCAAGCGUCUUAGGUCCGAUCGUGGUGGAGAGUAUUUUCCAAAAGUUUUUGAUGAAUUUUGUGAGGAACAUGGUAUUAUUCAUGAGAGGACGCCUCCCUAUUCACCUCAAUCAAAUGGAGUGGCCGAGAGGAAAAACCGCACAUUGACUGACUUGGUGAAUGCCAUGUUAGACACUGCGGGUUUAUCUAAGGCAUGGUGGGGGGAGGCUCUAUUGACUUCAUGUCAUGUCCUGAAUAGAGUUCCCAACAAUAAUAAAGAGAAAACCCCUUAUGAGGAGUGGGUUGGGAGAAAACCAUCACUUUCUUAUUUGCGCACUUGGGGAUGUUUGGCAAAGGUCAAUAUUCCUAUUCCUAAGAAACACAAACUUGGACCAAAGACAGUGGAUUGUGUCUUUCUAGGAUAUGCUCAACGGAGCAUUGCUUAUAGGUUUUUAGUGGUAAAAUCUGAAGUACCUGAUAUGCAUGUUGAUACUAUAAUGGAAUCUCAUGACGCAACAUUUUUUGAGAACAUAUUUCCUAUGAAAGAUAUGCAUAGCAUUGCUAGAUUUUCUUCUGAGAUAAUUCCUGAAUCUAGUACAACUGAUGAAUAUUUCGAACAAUCACAUGAGGAAGUCCUUGAGAAGGAUAACAAUGAAGUUCCUAGAAGGAACAAGAGAUAA
rnacentral:rRNA from 1 species